GAUGAACGCUGGCGGCGUGCCUAAUACAUGCAAGUCGAGCGAACGGACGAGAAGCUUGCUUCUCUGAUGUUAGCGGCGGACGGGUGAGUAACACGUGGAUAACCUACCUAUAAGACUGGGAUAACUUCGGGAAACCGGAGCUAAUACCGGAUAAUAUUUUGAACCGCAUGGUUCAAAAGUGAAAGACGGUCUUGCUGUCACUUAUAGAUGGAUCCGCGCUGCAUUAGCUAGUUGGUAAGGUAACGGCUUACCAAGGCAACGAUGCAUAGCCGAACUGAGAGGGGGAUCGGCCGCCUGUGAACUGGAACAGCGUCCUGGCUCCUGAGGGAAGCAGCAGUAGGGGAACGUCCGCAAUGGGCGAAAACCUUACGGAACCACCGCGCGUGAGUUGUGGAAGUCCUGCGAUCGGGAAACUCGGUUUUUAGUGAAAAACAUAUUUCUAAUGUACCGUGGCCAGCGUGACGGUAACUAAUCAAGAAGCCACGGCUAACUACGUG
rnacentral:rRNA from 1 species